rnacentral:rRNA from 1 species
GAAAGUAAAAAAGGGCGCAUGGCGGAUGCCUUGGCUCUCGGAGGCGAUGAAGGACGUGAUAAGCUGCGAUAAGCUUUGGGGAGGUGCAAAUGACCUUUGAUCCAGAGAUUUCCGAAUGGGACAACCCAAUAUCUUGAAGAGGUAUUAUCUUACUAUGUAAGAGGCUAACGCAGGGAACUGAAACAUCUUAGUACCUGCAGGAAAAGAAAAUAAACAAUGAUUCCCCCAGUAGUGGCGAGCGAACGGGGAACAGCCCAAACCAUCCAUGUUACGGCAUGGGUGGGGUUGUAGGACUACGCCGUUGCAUGAAGACAUCAGAGAAGAACUUUCUGGAAAGAAAGACCAUAGAGCAUGACAGUUGCGUAUUCGAAUGUUGUCGAAGCAUAGUAGUAUCCUGAGUAGCGCGGAGCACGAGGAAUUCUGCGUGAAUCUGCCGGGACCAUCCGGUAAGGCUAAAUACUCCCGAGAGACCGAUAGCGAACCAGUACCGUGAGGGAAAGGUGAAAAGCACUUCGAACAGAAGAGUGAAAUAGUUCCUGAAACCGUGCGCCUACAAGCGGUCGGAGCUCGUUAAUGAGUGACGGCGUGCCUUUUGCAUAAUGAACCUACGAGUUGCCUUUGCCGGCAAGGUUAAGUGUGACGACACACGUAUCCGAAGCGAAAGCGAGUCUGAACAGGGCGUAUAGUCGGCAGUGGCAGACGCGAAACCAAGUGAUCUACCCUUGGCCAGGUUGAAGGCUGGGUAACACCAGCUGGAGGACCGCACCAAUAAGCGUUGAAAAGCUUCUGGAUGAGCUGAGGGUAGGGGUGAAAGGCUAAUCAAACUUGGAGAUAGCUCGUACUCCCCGAAAUGCAUUUAGGUGCAGCCUUGCGGGUUACUGAUGUGAGGUAGAGCGACUGAUAAGAUGCGAGGGCUUCACCGCCUAUCAAGUCUUGACAAACUCCGAAUGCGCAUCAGUUCUACCGCAGGAGUGAGGGCAUGGGUGCUAAGGUCCGUGCCCGAGAGGAGAAGAAUCCGGACCACCUGCUAAGGUCCCGAAAUGACAGCUAAGUUAAACUAACGAAGUCUGACUGCUAAGACAGCUAGGAUGUUGGCUUGGAAGCAGCCAUUCAUUUAAAGAGUGCGUAACAGCUCACUAGUCGAGGAGUCGGGCGUGGAUAAUAAUCGGGUAUUAAGUUGUCUACCGAAGCAGUGGGAUCAUUAAUAUGAUCGGUAGGGGAGCAUUCCAGUCAGCGUCGAAGGCGUACCGUGAGGUAUUCUGGAGCGUCUGGAAAAGCAAAUGUAGGUAUAAGUAACGAUAAAGGGGGCGGGAAACCCCCUCGCCGAAAGACUAAGGUUUCCUGAUCAACGCUAAUCGGAUCAGGGUCAGUCGGGUCCUAAGGCUCAGCCGAACGGCGAUGCCGAUGGCAGAAACGGUUAAUAUUCCGUUACUACCUUCAGGAGUGACGUGGAGACGCAGUAGUGACAGUGCCGCCAUCUGACGGAAUAGAUGGUUGAAGGGUGUAGGAGUCGAUCAUGGCAGGCAAAUCCACCAUGAGAUCCGAACCUGACAGUAUGCCGCGUCCUUCGGGACAAGGCAAUAGUGCGCGUAAGCAUGCUGCCGAGAAAAUCCGCUAAACUUAAUCCUGCAGGUACCCGUACCGCAAACGGACACACGUAGUCGGGAUGAAUAUUCUAAGGCGCUUGAGUGAUUCACGGUUAAGGAACUAGGCAAACUGACCCUGUAACUUCGGGAUAAAGGGUCCCUACCCUUUUAUGGGAGGGCGCAGAGAAUCGGUCCAGGCAACUGUUUAACAAAAACACAGGGCUGUGCCAAAUCGAAAGAUCCAGUAUACAGCCUGACACCUGCCCGGUGCUGGAAGGUUAAGAGGAGAUGUCAUCGAUAAGAGAAGCGUUGAAUUGAAGCCCCAGUAAACGGCGGCCGUAACUAUAACGGUCCUAAGGUAGCGAAAUUCCUUGUCGGGUAAGUUCCGACCCGCACGAAUGGUGUAACGACUUGUGAGCUGUCUCAACAGGGGGCCCGGUGAAAUUGAAGUAUGGGUGAAGAUGCCCAUUACCCGCGACUGGACGGAAAGACCCCGUAGAGCUUUACUGCAGCCUGAUAUUGAGUUUCGGUAACUGAUGCACAGGAUAGGUGGGAGUCUGAGAGACAUGGGUUUCGGCUCGUGUGGAGACGAUGUUGGGAUACCACUCUUCGGUUACUGAAAUUCUAACAUAGCUCUGUGAAACCAGAGGAUGGACAGUGUCAGGUGGACAGUUUGACUGGGGCGGUCGCCUCCGAAAGAGUAACGGAGGCGCCCAAAGGUACCCUCAGAAUGGAUGGAAACCAUUCGAAGAGCGCAAAGGCAGAAGGGUGCCUGACUGCGAGAUUGACAAAUCGAGCAGAGACGAAAGUCGGGCUUAGUGAUCCGGCGGUAUUGAGUGGAAAAGCCGUCGCUUAACGGAUAAAAGCUACCUCGGGGAUAACAGGCUGAUCUCCCCCAAGAGUCCACAUCGACGGGGAGGUUUGGCACCUCGAUGUCGGCUCAUCGCAUCCUGGGGCUG